rnacentral:rRNA from 1 species
UACGGAGGGGGCUAGCGUUGUUCGGAAUUACUGGGCGUAAAGGGCGCGUAGGCGGUCUGUUAAGCGUGCGGUGAAAGCCUGGGGCUCAACCCCAGGUCUGCCGUGCGAACUGGUGGACUUGAGCACUGUAGAGGCAGGUGGAAUUCCGGGUGUAGCGGUGGAAUGCGUAGAGAUCCGGAAGAACACCGGUGGCGAAGGCGGCCUGCUGGGCAGUUGCUGACGCUGAUGCGCGACAGCGUGGGGAGCAAACAGG